rnacentral:sRNA from 1 species
UUAGGUAAGACUGCCGAAGACAGUAGGUGCUCAUGGAGCGUAACGUAGAACAACCUACCGAGGAUAUGAAGUUUUAGAUGAUUAGUAUCGCUCUUUGUCUACAGGUAUGUGGAGAAAGAGCUUUUUUUAUC